ensembl:lncRNA
UUGUGCUUACAUACAUGAGAGGAAGGCCCAGGGUGAAAACAGGCCUCUCCCCUCAUGAGGACAUCACUGGAAGACCAAUGAACACAGGCUUAGGUGCCCCUACUCACACAGACCUCACCACAGAACAUGUGAAUGAUACAAUGUUAACUUACUGCACUAAUCUGUCAAAGGUUCUGAACAACAUCCACAGGAGUGUAAAAGCUGCUCUACCAACUCCCAUUGACGGCCCGCUGCACGACAUCGAGCCUGGGGAUUGGGUAGUCAUCAAGGACUGCAAGAGAAAGCACUGGAGCAAACCACGCUGGUUGGGCCCAUACCAAGUUCAACUGGUCACUCAGUCUGCUGUCAAGGUUGCUGAACGAGGAACCUGUGUCCACGCCACGCACUGUAAGAGGGUUCCAGCGUUAGAAGAUACGGCGAAAGAAUAGGUAAACUGAAGUUACCUAAGGGCGGUGUGGGUUGUGGUGCUAGUAACUAACAACUCCAACACAUCCUGCGACCAUGGAGCCAGAGAGACCAGGACCAUGGAACCCCUUCAGGAGGUCUGGAGGAAUGAGAUGCACCAUCGGGUGCCUGCUGAUUUUGAGUAUUAUCAUCACCAUACCGAUAGUGUGGAUUUCCAAACCGCACUGUGAUGAUCAUGGACAGAUUGUAAAUAUGACACCUAAUGAAGCAAGGAAAGAGACAUUUGUACACCAUGAGAAAAGGCCCGAACCACAGAUACAGACAGGGUUUGAUUUUAAACAGACUACGUUAAUCUCUUGUGACGUGAUGAACUGCCCCCCAGAUGAGGAUUGUUAUGUACUGACAAGCCCAGUGUUGAAGGAUAAUAAGUGGUAUUGGACUCACCUGAAUACAGGAGGGAACACUAUGUUCCCCUCAUACUAUUUGCCCAACCAUGUGAAUAGGUGGAGAUGUUAUGAUGAUGAUUAUUGUACUGUUAACAUUUCCAAACCUCUAGGAGUAAUCCAGGAUUACUGGUGUUUCAGUACCGAUGAAGAAGACGCCCCUUGCAGAUCACCUGACUACCCUAAAGGUAGACCUGCUAUGAUAUGUCUCUUAACAGUUGCACGUACUACUGUAGUUCCUUCUCCUGCACCACGUCGUUCUGAACCAGGUAGAGUAAGGAGAGCACUGUUAGAGCCAGACAACAUAGCCCUUAGGAUAAUGGUUGACUAUGCAAAACACAAGAACAUGACUGAUUGUUGGAUCUGUCAACACAUACCAACAUCUUCACGUUCACCUAUGUUAACCCCUAUCCCAUUUUCAGUAGCAGACUGGCAGGCACACGGUUGGACCGAGGUGGCAGCACAAAUGACACCACCAGAUAAGGACUGUUAUACCCCGUCUGCCGUUCCUGACCACCUGGGCUAACCUACACCGAGCGAGUAGGAGAACGUGGCUUCAUUGUAAGGAUGCAAAUGAUCCUGUUGCAGACAGACUGUCGCACAGAGGAGGAUGAAGUCAGAUCAGGGCGGAUGGACAUUUAACCCCCCUUUUGGAGCCCCCCAUGGUGGAGUGUGGGAAAGGCUGAUCAGAUUGGUCAAAAAGAUCCUAACGUCAGUCUUAAAGCAACAAACACUUAAUGGCGAAUUUCUGCAAACAGCACUUUGUGAAAUAGAAGCUAUCCUCAACGACAGAACAAUAACUACUCUUUCAAGUGAUCCUAAUGAUUUGGAACCACUCACCCCAAACCAUCUACUUCAGCUAAAAGCCAAAGCAAUAAUGCCACCAGGACUUUUUGAAAAGAGAGAUCUUUACUCAAGGAGAAGAUGGAGACAAACACAAUAUCUGGCAGAUCUGUUCUGGAAGCGAUGGACAAGGGAGUACCUUCCAAUCAUGCAGCAAAGAAGACAACACAGCAUCGAGGAACUCAUUGCACAUGGGCCGUGUUGUUAAGACUUUCCCAGACUCCAAAGGAAUUGUUAGAAGUGUUUUAGUUAAAACUAAGUCUAACAUCCUUCAACGGCCUAUCGAUAGACUCAAAGAGGCAGUAGACUGAACUAAUGACAUUUCUCACUAUCACACACACCCUACACUACUUCAUAGUCUAUCAUGAACUCUGACAUGAAAGAACAUGGACAUGAAAUUAACGCAAAGAUAAUUUACUUGAAUCCUGGAUAUUGAAAUGCCAUCUAUUACUAUUCAUAUGUGAUUACUGUAUCAUAGCUCCAUUGAAUGUUGUUGUUAUAAUUGUUUUGCUGGAGCAGCAACAAUUAGGGGCCGGAGUGUUGGAGCCAUAAUAAGUAUAUUGGUGUUUAUUCAUUUAAUUGUAAAAACAAACAAGAUUAUUUGUAUUAUUUGUCUAAUUCAUUUCUAAAUAGUUAAAUAAAAAUGUUGGACUUUGUAUCUGGACAAAUAACUUGAAUCAAUUACUGGAUUACAGCAAACUCCGCUCCUCCUCCUAAUUAGGUCACCUUCACAGGUAUAAUGAGCAGCUGGAUGACAGCUUGGGCAGUUCUUCUUUUGUUCGAGUAAGAGAGGUGGACAGAGAAACAGUUUAGUGACCGUAGCGUAUGUGUGAUCAUCCAUAUUUAGUACACGUUUAAGUUUCUGUUGAAAGUCAACCACGGAGAAUGUAUCUUUUGAUGUAAUUAAA